CAGAUGGAGUAGAGACAGAUGGAGUAGUGCCAGAUAGAAUAGAGCCAGAUGGAGUAGAGACAGAUGGAGUAGAGACAGAUGGAGUGGAGCCAGAUGGAGUGGAGCCAGAUGGAGUAGAGACAGAUGGAGUGGAGCCAGAUGGAGUGGAGCCAGAUGGAGUAGAGCCAGAUGGAGUAGAGACAGAUGGAGUGGAGCCAGAUGGAGUAGAGCCAGAUAGAGUAGAGCCAGAUAGAAUAGAGCCAGAUAGAAUAGUCAUAUGGAAAGAGACAUAUAGAAUAGAGACAGAUAGAAUAGUCAUAUGGAAAGAGACAAAUAGAGUAGAGACAAAGACAGAUAGAAUUCAGCCAGAUCGAAUAGAGACAGAUAGAGUAGAGCCAGGUCGAGUAUAGCCAGAUGGACCAUAGCCAGAUGGAGUAGAGACAGAUGGAGUAGUGCCAGAUGGAGUGGAGCCAGAUGGAAAAGAGC
ensembl:lncRNA